rnacentral:rRNA from 1 species
GGACGGGUGAGUAACGCGUGGGUAACCUGCCCUAUACACAUGGAUAACAUACUGAAAAGUUUACUAAUACAUGAUAAUAUAUAUUUGCGGCAUCGCAGAUAUAUCAAAGUGUUAGCGGUAUAGGAUGGACCCGCGUCUGAUUAGCUAGUUGGUGAGAUAACUGCCCACCAAGGCGACGAUCAGUAGCCGACCUGAGAGGGUGAUCGGCCACAUUGGAACUGAGACACGGUCCAAACUCCUACGGGAGGCAGCAGUGGGGAAUAUUGCACAAUGGGCGAAAGCCUGAUGCAGCAACGCCGCGUGAACGAUGAAGGUCUUCGGAUCGUAAAGUUCUGUUGCAGGGGAAGAUAAUGACGGUACCCUGUGAGGAAGCCCCGGCUAACUACGUGCCAGCAGCCGCGGUAAUACGUAGGGGGCUAGCGUUAUCCGGAUUUACUGGGCGUAAAGGGUGCGUAGGUGGUCCUUCAAGUCGGUGGUUAAAGGCUACGGCUCAACCGUAGUAAGCCGCCGAAACUGGAGGACUUGAGUGCAGGAGAGGGAAAUGGAAUCCCAGUGUAGCGGU